CUGUAAGCCUGCGAAGGUGGCCUGUGAGGGUUGCUGGAGGUAUCAGAAGUGCGAAUGCUGACAUAAGUAACGAUAAAGCGGGUGAAAAGCCCGCUCGCCGGAAGACCAAGGGUUCCUGUCCAACGUUAAUCGGGGCAGGGUGAGUCGACCCCUAAGGCGAGGCCGAAAGGCGUAGUCGAUGGGAAACGGGUUAAUAUUCCCGUACUUGGUGUUACUGCGAAGGGGGGACGGAGAAGGCUAUGUUGGCCGGGCGACGGUUGUCCCGGUUUAAGCGUGUAGGUGUGUGUUCCAGGUAAAUCCGGUUCACUUUAACACUGAGGCGUGAUGACGAGGCACUACGGUGCUGAAGCAACAAAUGCCCUGCUUCCAGGAAAAGCCUCUAAGCAUCAGGUAACAUCAAAUCGUACCCCAAACCGACACAGGUGGUCAGGUAGAGAAUACCAAGGCGCUUGAGAGAACUCGGGUGAAGGAACUAGGCAAAAUGGUGCCGUAACUUCGGGAGAAGGCACGCUGACACGUAGGUGAAGUGAUUUACUCAUGGAGCUGAAGUCAGUCGAAGAUACCAGCUGGCUGCAACUGUUUAUUAAAAACACAGCACUGUGCAAACACGAAAGUGGACGUAUACGGUGUGACGCCUGCCCGGUGCCGGAAGGUUAAUUGAUGGGGUCAGCGCAAGCGAAGCUCCUGAUCGAAGCCCCGGUAAACGGCGGCCGUAACUAUAACGGUCCUAAGGUAGCGAAAUUCCUUGUCGGGUAAGUUCCGACCUGCACGAAUGGCGUAAUGAUGGCCAGGCUGUCUCCACCCGAGACUCAGUGAAAUUGAACUCGCUGUGAAGAUGCAGUGUACCCGCGGCAAGACGGAAAGACCCCGUGAACCUUUACUAUAGCUUGACACUGAACAUUGAGCCUUGAUGUGUAGGAUAGGUGGGAGGCUUUGAAGUGUGGACGCCAGUCUGCAUGGAGCCGGCCUUGAAAUACCACCCUUUAAUGUUUGAUGUUCUAACGUGGACCCGUGAUCCGGGUUGCGGACAGUGUCUGGUGGGUAGUUUGACUGGGGCGGUCUCCUCCUAAAGAGUAACGGAGGAGCACGAAGGUUGGCUAAUCCUGGUCGGACAUCAGGAGGUUAGUGCAAUGGCAUAAGCCAGCUUGACUGCGAGCGUGACGGCGCGAGCAGGUGCGAAAGCAGGUCAUAGUGAUCCGGUGGUUCUGAAUGGAAGGGCCAUCGCUCAACGGAUAAAAGGUACUCCGGGGAUAACAGGCUGAUACCGCCCAAGAGUUCAUAUCGACGGCGGUGUUUGGCACCUCGAUGUCGGCUCAUCACAUCCUGGGGCUGAAGUAGGUCCCAAGGGUAUGGCUGUUCGCCAUUUAAAGUGGUACGCGAGCUGGGUUUAGAACGUCGUGAGACAGUUCGGUCCCUAUCUGCCGUGGGCGCUGGAGAACUGAGGGGGG
rnacentral:rRNA from 1 species